CCUGGCGGCGAUAGCGCGGUGGUCCCACCUGACCCCAUGCCGAACUCAGAAGUGAAACGCCGUAGCGCCGAUGGUAGUGUGGGGUCUCCCCAUGUUAGAGUAGGGAACUGCCAGGC
rnacentral:rRNA from 2 species